UCAACUUGGUGCCAAGGGACCUGGGUCGUUCGGGUAACCCAACCCCAAUCUUCCUGGCCGGGACGCCACCGCCGGCGGCAGCCUCUCGCCGCUCGACGCCCCUCCCUCGGUUCCUGCCUGCCUGCGACGCCCUCCCUCCGUUCCUCUUGGAGACCUUGCCACCGCCCGCCUGUCUGAUUUCUCUCUCUCCCUCUCAGAUCCGAGCACCCAGCCUAAUGUGAUCGAAACUUCCUGUUGGGUGCGGCGGCGGCUGCGGCGCGGCGGCCACAAGCAGGUCGGCCGGGGACGCCAGGUCCGACCCCUCCUCGCCGUCCCAGACCGCGACGGCCGCGCCCGUGCCCUCGAGCUCGGCGGCGGCGGCUGCCAUGGUGGAGGACGGCGGCAGCCACCUCAGCGCCGGCUUGCCGAUGCAGGGGUCUGCGCUUGUACUCGAGGGACCGGCGUCCGCUCUUCUCCCAGCCCAACAGCAUCCUUCCUCGAUCCAGGCUGCUGUCAGACCCGUACGUCGUCGUCCGCAGGCUGAGCACAGCAUGGAGAGAUCUCCUGUGGCUACCCCUCCAGAAAAUGAGGAUUGGCUCUCUAGUGGUUCUCCGUCAGCAAGGACUCUGGUGGUGGAGGUCAUGAUGCUGUUGCCUAGAAUUUCUCCAAGAGACAAGCAGACUAGAGUUUCCACAACUGAUUUGGCAAGAAUUAACCGGGCCAAGCGAGCAAGGUUUAUAAAAUUUCAAUACCUACCAACCUAGGAAGUGAUCAUGUAGUGGAUCAUAUCGAAGAUCAUUUAGACCUUUCUUCACUGGCAUGACAACCAGCUUUACAUGCUAAGGGCGCUGGUCCCUCCAACAUCCAGCCGGAGCAGAGUUCCCCUUCCCCUCCAACAUCCAGCUGGGGCAGUAGUAGGAUAAAGUCAAGGUCCAUGCAUGGUGGAUAAAGUCAGGGUCCAGCCUAUCAAGGCAUACUAUGAUUAUGAUUUAGCUCAUUGUUCGAGCAGAUUGAUUAUUUAUGUGUUAUACUUUUGCUCAGUGUAAUAACAAAAUUGUUUUGCCUUGUUGGGACCAUACACAACCGUGCAGACGUGUGUAAGUAUAUUUUUUAUUGAGGCAGCAAAGUCGUUGCCAUUUUGUUGCGUAA